UUAUUGGUUCAAAUCGCUCGCAG
rnacentral:miRNA from 2 species